rnacentral:rRNA from 1 species
AUGCCAGAGGACAGUUUUAGCGGCAUAGAGGAGUGGUGGCUCCAGGCCAGAGCCGGCGUUCCUAAACCGAUGUGUCGCAACUUCGACACUAUUACUAUUCUCAUGCACUGGAGGCUGUGGAAGGAGAGGAACUCCAGGAUUUUUGACCAGGUGGCAAGCAGCGCCGACAGGGUGCUGGAUUUGGUCUGUGAAGAUAUUGCGGUUUGGCGUGCGGCCGGUUGUAUUGUUGAGCUCGGAGCCUAA